rnacentral:rRNA from 1 species
AGAGUUUGAUCAUGGCUCAGAUUGAACGCUGGCGGCAUGCCUUACACAUGCAAGUCGAGCGGCAGCGCGGGGGCAACCCUGGCGGCGAGCGGCGAACGGGUGAGUAAUGCAUCGGAACGUGUCCUCUUGUGGGGGAUAACCAGUCGAAAGAUUGGCUAAUACCGCAUGAGAUCGAGAGAUGAAAGCAGGGGACCGCAAGGCCUUGCGCGAGAGGAGCGGCCGAUGCCGGAUUAGCUAGUUGGUGGGGUAAAGGCCUACCAAGGCGACGAUCCGUAGCUGGUCUGAGAGGACGACCAGCCACACUGGGACUGAGACACGGCCCAGACUCCUACGGGAGGCAGCAGUGGGGAAUUUUGGACAAUGGGGGCAACCCUGAUCCAGCCAUGCCGCGUGUGUGAAGAAGGCCUUCGGGUUGUAAAGCACUUUCGGACGGAACGAAAUCGCGCGAUCUAAUAAGUCGCGUGGAUGACGGUACCGUAAGAAGAAGCACCGGCUAACUACGUGCCAGCAGCCGCGGUAAUACGUAGGGUGCGAGCGUUAAUCGGAAUUACUGGGCGUAAAGUGUGCGCAGGUGGCUGAGCAAGUCGAGUGUGAAAUCCCCGGGCUUAACUUGGGAAUUGCGCUCGAAACUACUUGGCUCGAGUGUGGCAGAGGAAGGUGGAAUUCCAGGUGUAGCGGUGAAAUGCGUAGAGAUCUGGAGGAAC